GACGAACGCUGGCGGCGUGCUUAACUCAUGCAAGUCGAGCGGAAAGGCCACUUCGGUGGUACUCGAGCGGCGAACGGGUGAGUAACACGUGAGUAAUCUGCCCCUGGCUUUGGGAUAGCCACCGGAAACGGUGAUUAAUACCGGAUACGACCACUUCUCGCAUGGGAUGGUGGUGGAAAGUUUUUUCGGCCAGGGAUGUGCUCGCGGCCUAUCAGCUUGAUGGUGAGGUAAUGGCUCACCAUGGCUUCGACGGGUAGCCGGCCUGGGAGGGUGACCGGUCACACUGGGACUGAGACACGGCCAAGACUCCUACGGGAGGCAGCAGUGGGGAAUAUUGGACAAUGAGCGGAAGCCUGAUCCAGCAACGCCGCGUGAGGGAUGACGGCCUUCGGGUUGUAAACCUCUUUCAGCAGGGACGAAGCGCAAGUGACGGUACCUGCAGAAGAAGCACCGGCCAACUACGUGCCAGCCGCCGCCGUAA
rnacentral:rRNA from 1 species